CCAAUAGCGUAUAUUAAAGUUGUUGCAGUUAAAAAGCUCGUAGUUGAAUUUCGGGGUUAGUAGGUUGGUCAUGCCUCUGGUAUGUACUGGUCUCACUGAUUCCUCCUUCCUGAUGAGCCGUAAUGCCAUUAAUUUGGUGUUGCGGGGAAUUUGGACUGUUACUUUGAAAAAAUUAGAGUGUUUAAAGCAAGCUAACGCUUGAAUACAUUAGCAGGGAAUAAUGAAAUAGGACGUUCGAUCCUAUUUUGUUGGUUUCUAGGAUUGACGUAAUGAUUAAUAGGGAUAGUUGGGGGCAUUAGUAUUCAAUUGUCAGUGGUGAAAUUCUUGGAUUUAUUGAAGACUAACUACUGCGAAAGCAUUUGCCAAGGAUGUUUUCAUUAAUCAAGAACGAAAGUUAGGGGAUCGAAGACGAUCAGAUACCGUCGUAGUCUUAACCAUAAACUAUGCCGACUAGGGAUCGGAUGAUGUUAAUUUUUUAAUGACUCAUUCGGCGCCUUACG
rnacentral:misc_RNA from 1 species